GGGCUAUGGCUCAUUGGUAGAGUGCCUGCUUGGCAUGCAGGAGAACCCAGAUUCAGUCUCUGGCAUCUCCA
rnacentral:tRNA from 1 species